rnacentral:piRNA from 1 species
UGAAAAUAUUGUGGUGUAUUUUCUGGCACACC